rnacentral:tRNA from 2 species
GGAGAGGUGGCAGAGUGGUCGAUUGUACCUGACUCGAAAUCAGGCGUACCGCAAGGUACCGUGGGUUCGAAUCCCACCCUCUCCGCCA